CCCCAGGUCAGGUGGCUACCCGCUGAGUUUAAGCAUUGGCAAUGCCGGAGGAGAAGAACUUACAAGGGAUUCCCUAGUAACGGGCGAGCGAACCGGGAUUCAGCCCAGUUGAGAACGGCGGCUGCGUUGCCUGAAUUAGUUCGCAGAAGCAUCCUUAGCGAUGGCCCAAGUCCCCUGGAAAGGGGCACCGGGAGGUGAGAGCCCCGCCCGCUCGGACCCCUGUCGCACCACACGCACGUCCGGCGAGUCGAUGAGAAUGCAGGUUUGGGAAUGCAGCCCCAAUCUGUAAAUUGGCCCGUUAACAAUAUGGGCGAAGAGACCGAGCAUAAAACAAGUACCGGUGGAGGGGAAAGAUGAAAAGGACUGAAAAAGAGAGUCAAAGAGUGCUUGAAAUUGCCGGAGGGAAGCGGAUGGGGCCGGCGAUGCACUUCGGCCGAUGCGAACGUUAGCCGUCACGGUCGGCCAGCGGAUCGGCGCGGGUGCAUCGGGACGGUCGGCCCGGACGAUCGUUCGCUCGAGGGGAUACCGUCGUUGCGGUUUUGCGACAUGACGCCGGGCAUCGGCAUGCACCGCUGGGUACAUCGCGGUAUAGGCGCGGCCAAAGGCUCUUCAUCCCACCGCAAUGGCCGUUAUCGACCGCUGGAGUUCGAUUACGCGUAUGAAGCCCAUCAAAAGUGAAACCCCGAAGGGCACAAGGAAGAACCGGCGGAAACCCUUUAGGGUUGCACCGCCUCCCGAUCAUCUUUCUUUCGCCUGGAGCAUGGAACAACGUGGGACCAAAGAUGAACUAUGCCUAGGUUAUGGCCAAAGGAAACUUCCGUGGAGGCCCUGCCAUACUGACGCAAAACGUCGCCUGACUUGGGUAUAGGGCGACUUAAUCGAACCAUCUAGUAGUCGUUCCCUCCGGUUUCCUCAGAUAAAGGAGCCCAAUGCUCGAAGUUCCCCCGUAAAGCCAAUGAUUGAGGCAUCAGCAACCAUCUAUUUCAAACUUUAACAGGGACUACGCGGCUAUUUCGCUGCCGCUGAAUCGAGAGCCCGGGCGGGCUAAGGCGAAACGGCAUGGCGGAUGAACCGGGUUGGGUUACGGUGCUCAACUGUAUGCUAACCCGCAUAAUCACCGGGGUGUUGGUCGAUUAAGAGGCAGACAGGUCGUGGAAGCUCAAAAUGGCUAAGGAGUGGUAACAACUCACCUGCCGAAUCAAAUUGAAUUCUCAAAAUGGAUGGCGCUGCCGCCGCCGCACUUAAUUGAAGCAUGACAUGCAGCCAAGCCCUUCGAGUAGUGGUAUUUCGAAACCCAGGGCGCGAGGCCCGGCGACGCCGCCGCCGGUGCAGAUCUUUGGUGGUAGCAAAUAUUCAAAUGAGAACUUUGAAGGCCGAAGAGGGGAAAGUUCCAUGAACGCACGGCAUAAUGGGUUAGUCAUCCCAGGGACGGGAAGCCCGGCUUUUCCCUCUCUUGUUCCAGCGCAGCCCGAAUGGACCGUUGGGUUAAAAUUCGUCGACGCCGCAGCGGACGGCAACGCGUUAGGGGUCCGGAGACGUCCAGCGGGCCCCGGAAGAGUUAUUUUUCUGCUUAACGGCCCGCUUCAUUCGGAAACUACCAAUGGAGGUAGGGUCCAUCGGUCGGAAGAGCCGACGCCGAUCGCCGUCCGCGCCCGGCCCUCAUGCCCUUGAAAAUCCGGAGGAAAGUGCCGCCGCCCGUCGCAUUUCAUAACCGCAUCCAGUUCCAAGGUGAACAGCCUGGCCCAUGGAACAAUGUAGGCAAGGGAAGUCGGGCAAACGGAUCCAGAACUUCGGAAAAAGGAUUGGCUCAGGGGUGGGCACGGGUCCCGCCCAACCCGCCGGGUUGUCGGGCGACUGUUUCGAAGCUACCGCGGCGAGGGCCGCGCCGUCGUGGAUGGGAUCGAACGGGAAUGGCUCCUCGGGGCCUUCGGCCGAACAGCCGAUCGCCAGAACUGGUACGAUAAGGGGAAUCCACUGUUUAAUUAAAACAGCAUUGCGAUGGUCUCCGCGAUGCUCAAUGUGAUUUCUGCCCAGUGCUCUGAAAUGUCAAAAGUGAAGAAAAUUCAACCAAGCGCUGGUAAACGGGCGCGGAGUAACUUACUUUCUUUAAGAUAGCAAAUGCCUCACAUCUAAUAAGUGAGACAUGAAUGAAUGGAUUAACCAGGACCCCAAUGUCCCUGUUCACAUCCAGCUGUAAAACCACAGCCAAGGAACGGGUUUGGCAGAAUCAGCCGGGAAGAAGACCCUGUUGAGCUUGGACUCUAGUCCCACUUUUUGUGAAAUGACUUGAGAGGUGUAGGAUAAGUGGGGAGCAGGUUCGGCCGUGAAGUGAAAUACCACCACUACUUUUAACGUUAUUUUAUUUAUUCCGGAGUCGGAGGGAGGGGCCCGCCCUCCACCCGACCCGCCCUUUGAAGGGCCAAUCCAUGGAAGACAUUGUCAGUGGGGGAGUCUGGGGCGGCACAUCUGUUAAAAGAUAACGCAGGUGUCCUAUGAUGAGCUCAACGAGAACAGAAAUCAGGGUGGAACAAAAGGUAAAAGCUCGCUUGAUUUUGGAUUUCAGCACUUAUCAUCAACCGUGAAAAAAGUGGCCUAUCGAUCCUUUAGACCUUCGGAAUUUGAAGCUAGAGGUGUCAGAAAAGUUACCACAGGGAUAACUGGCUUGUGGGGCCAAGCCGCCUCAUAGCGACGUUGCUUUUUUGAUCCUUCGAUGCCGCUCUUCCCAUUGUGAAGCAGAAUUCACCGCGUUGAUUGUUCACCCACCAAUAGGGAACGGAGCUGGCUUAGACCGUCCGGAGACAAGUUAGUUUUACCUCGUGAUGAUCGAGGUCUAUAGUAAUUCAACCUAGUACGAGGAACCGCUGAUUCACAGCCAAUUGGUCAUCGCUUGGUUGAAAAGCCAGUGGCGCCGGUUACCGCGGUGUCGGAUUAUGACUGAACGCUUUAAGUCAGAAUCUCUAGCUAGCAAACGGCGCUUCGGCCGUUCGUCGCUUCCCGAAUGGCUGUAGGGGCCUUUAGCCCCCAUGGGCUCAUGUCGCCGGGUAGCCUCGCGAGGUAUAGCCACGGCCGGUCAUCGGAAGUGAAAUUCGCGACGGAUCUACUGGGUCAAUCUUUUGCAGACGACUUAAAUACGCCGAUGGGGCAUUGUGGGUGGUAGAGUGGCCUUGCGCCACCAUCCACUGAGAUCCAGC
rnacentral:rRNA from 1 species